UGUUGCCCUAUUUCAUAGGUGGAAUGGCAGCCAUAUGGCGCCGAUGACAGACUUGGGUACACCCCGGAGUUUAGCAUCAACCCGAUGUGCUUGCGGGAUAGGGAUCUCUGGCUUAUGCGGUGCCCACUGAUAUGCAACUGGGUUGUUGAGUUUCAUUUGCCACAUCGCGUGUUUCGUCAGUUUGGUCUGUUCCAGCCUCACCCGCCGGAAUGGGUGGAUACGGACAAAGCACUUCAUAGGUUGGACAGGAGAAGGCAGCGGAAGAUAAAGGACUGGGACAAGCAUCAUGCUUCGUAUGUUACCCGCUUCCAGCUUUGCGUGGAGCAAGCUCGUAGCAGUGCACGCGCGCAGCUUCGUGAGCAUAACCCACUUGCUUUUGAUAACUACAUACGAUGACUUCUUGAAAAUACUCGAGUUGAGAUAUGCCCGCCGGCAUAUAAUGAGGAUAUUCUUGAAGAACCCGUAAACUUUGAGGAUCUAUCAAAGGGGAAGUACAACAGAGAUAUCAGGGUAGGGCAAGGAGUCCCUGCUGUUCCGGUGAUUAACUAUGUGCGCACCGAGAUCAAGAAAGCAGCUGAUGAGAGCCAGUCUAUUCUCGAGAACACACCGGUUGGAAAAGGCAAU